AUUAUUAUUAUUAUUAUUAUUAAUAACUAGUUCAAAACUAAAAAGUACAAAGAUCAAUUUUGAAUUCGUAAAAGCAGCACAAGAAUUUCACAUAAGGUUUUCAUUCAGCAGGCAAUAAAGGAUUAGGGUGUAACCAGUGGUUCUUAAAUUAUUAAAUUUUAGGCCUGAUACAUAAAUUUAACCCUGAAUCAAUUUCGAAAAGUCUAUUGCACCCUUAACUUUUAUUUUAACCUAAUGUACCCCUAAUCUUUUAUUUUUAACCUAUUGCACCCUUAUUUAUAAAACUAGUAGGAACAAUUUGCUCAACUUAUUCGUUGAGCUCAACCAAUCAGCACCAAGUGGGUACUGGAUAAAUAAUUGAGUACAUUAUCCUUUCAGUUCAGCACCUUCCUCGAUUUAUAUCUGGACCAGGUGUAAUUUUCGGCAUAUAAACUCAAAUUUAUCCAAUACAAAUUCUGUUCCCAGAAUGGAAUACUACAGAAUUGAAAUGAGCAGGAUUGCAGAUUAAUCCUAUUAGUAAACAGAAUGAGAAUCAGACUCCCCACUCCCCCCCACCUGGGCCUGCCUGCCCUUUUUUGUCAAUUAGAGCAGGGGUGAGUUUCAAAUGAGCCAGGCACAAACAGUGAUUUAUAGUGUUGGUCUUUUUUUUUUGGCACCCUUCUAUAAGGACAAAAUAAUCUUCUAAUAUUGUUUUUGAACAUAAAAAUAACUGAACCAUGAGAACCAACUAUCAAAUCAUAAGAAACACCUAAUGGUCA
rnacentral:misc_RNA from 1 species